GCCGCGAGCGCAGGGCGGGGAAGCUGAGUGGGACGCAGGCUUCGCCCAGUUCCUUUCACGGCACCGGUAACUUGUUGCGCAGGUGUAGACACUGAGCGCCUUGGGGCCGGCCUGUCCCGGCGCCACCUCGGUGCCCGGAGCCCAGCAGGUAGCCAGGAUUUGUAAAUCUUUGCCUCAGGAUUUUUUCUAAGACGGGAAGUCCUUUUGUUCAAACCUAACCUAUGGGUGGAAAAUUCAAAUGACUGCAGGAGGCGGGCAGGAACUUCAGUGAAGUGACCCAGGUGUGGCAUCGCUGGAUAUGCAUUCCUCACAUAAAAAGAAAGUAAGCACGACUACUGUCACAGGGCUGCUUCUGAGAUGCAGCCCCAUCUUGCCAUCCAGGACCCGUUCUUAAUCUCUUCUGGAGUUUUGACCAGAAGCUGAAACUGGCAGCCCUUGGACUCAAUUCAGCAGGAAGAACUGCAAAUUAAGUACUGGAAAUUGCACCUUGAUGGACAGCUUUAAGUGCGAGAGCAGCAGAAGCAGUUUGGAAAUCAGGAAAGAUGAAGUGUUUCUUCAGGAGUGAACUAUACUUCCAAAUCUCUUUUGAUGAACCCGGGGCCAACUUGUAUGCGUCUUCUCGGGGUUCAGCUUGGAUGGACAAAGAAGCUAGAUGGCGGACAUGACCAACACAACAGUCAAUGAACAUCGACUAAGACAGCAGUUAAAAACAGUAUCACCGGUAGGGAUUGAGGGUAGCAGGUAAGGUGGCAGAUUCAGGCCCAGUUCGCAAUUAAGCUCAUGAAAUGCAAGAUUUGGUGGAGCAGUUGAACUGCAGGACGGAUGGAGAUGCUGCUGGGCCUUGGGACACCUAGAACCAGAGGCCAAGAGCCACUGUUCCUCACCAUUGCAUGUUUCUGCUCAUAAAGUUCAUUCUUUCCUAUUGCAUUGUCUUCCUUCAUAAAGCAGGAAAAAUGGGUGUCCAUAACUUAGGAGUUUCAAGUCUUCCUGUGGGGCUCACAAGUGCAAAUGCUUUCUGGGGUCAGGGGAGUACCAUAAUUGAGUGAAGGAAGCUGGGUAUGCAGUGCGGGGUCGGGGGGGCCCAUGGCAAACUGAAUCCCAAAUUCAGCCUUUGGAUUUUUCCAAAGAGGCCUGGCAUCUGUGUUCAGGUUUCCAGCCUGCAUCUCCUCAAGACAGCCCCGCCUAGGAGAGCGGGAGUGCACCCGAAAGCCUGCGCCAGCUCCUGGUCUUGAAGUGUCUUCUCAGCCACAGUGGCCGCUGGGCGCAGAGCAAGGCCGGAAGGCGUCAGGUGUAGCCAGGCUUUAGGUCUCACCAGCAAGGAGGCAGAAGAGGGCGCAGCGAUGUUUUCUCGCUGGUAGGAAGAUGGGGGCGAUUCCCUUCUUCUGAUUAGAAAAUAACUCAGGGCAUUACAGAACAUUAGAAGAUACGUAAACGUACAGACAAGUGCUGUAAAAGCUCCGUAAUCUCCUAUCUGGAGAGAGUGUUGGUCGGUUUCCUUUGUCUUUCGUUCCUUACCUACUUUUAAUAUAACCGUGACCAUGUAUCAUUUUGUAUAUUGCUUUUAUAUCAAAUCAUUUUUGAUUUUGAAAUAUUUUAAUAUUUAAAUAAGUAUUCUAGGUAUUAUUAGGUAUUGUUUUCCUACUGUCUAACAUUUUUUUCCCUAAACCUCAUUCUAAUAUAUUCAUGGGAGGUACAUCCAGGGAGGCACCACGGUGUUCUGUAACGAUUUCCCUGAAGUUAGGGGUUUAGAUUGUUUACUGUUUUUUUCCUAUUAUAAAUCACACUGGGAUGAAUAUCUUCAUGACCAAAAUGUUGCCUACAUAUCCUGUUAUUUACUCGGGAUAGAAUUCCAAAAGUGCGAAUUUCCGGGUGGGUCCAAAGCAAUAAACAUUUUUAAAGUU